rnacentral:rRNA from 1 species
UCGAGCGAAGCACUUUGCUUAGAUUCUUCGGAUGAAGAGGAUUGUGACUGAGCGGCGGACGGGUGAGUAACGCGUGGGUAACCUGCCUCGUACAGGGGGAUAACAGUUAGAAAUGACUGCUAAUACCGCAUAAGACCACAGCACCGCAUGGUGCAGGGGUAAAAACUCCGGUGGUAUGAGAUGGACCUGCGUCUGAUUAGCUAGUUGGUAAGGUAACGGCUUACCAAGGCGACGAUCAGUAGCCGACCUGAGAGGGUGACCGGCCACAUUGGGACUGAGACACGGCCCAAACUCCUACGGGAGGCAGCAGUGGGGAAUAUUGCACAAUGGGGGAAACCCUGAUGCAGCGACGCCGCGUGAGCGAAGAAGUAUUUCGGUAUGUAAAGCUCUAUCAGCAGGGAAGAAAAUGACGGUACCUGACUAAGAAGCACCGGCUAAAUACGUGCCAGCAGCCGCGGUAAUACGUAUGGUGCAAGCGUUAUCCGGAUUUACUGGGUGUAAAGGGAGCGUAGACGGAUGGGCAAGUCUGAUGUGAAAACCCGGGGCUCAACCCCGGGACUGCAUUGGAAACUGUUCAUCUAGAGUGCUGGAGAGGUAAGUGGAAUUCCUAGUGUAGCGGUGAAAUGCGUAGAUAUUAGGAGGAACACCAGUGGCGAAGGCGGCUUACUGGACAGUAACUGACGUUGAGGCUCGAAAGCGUGGGGAGCAAAC